rnacentral:rRNA from 1 species
GUGGGGAAUCUUGCGCAAUGGGCGAAAGCCUGACGCAGCCAUGCCGCGUGAAUGAUGAAGGUCUUAGGAUUGUAAAAUUCUUUCACCGGGGACGAUAAUGACGGUACCCGGAGAAGAAGCUCCGGCUAACUUCGUGCCAGCAGCCGCGGUAAUACGAAGGGGGCUAGCGUUGCUCGGAAUUACUGGGCGUAAAGGGCGCGUAGGCGGACAGCUUAGUCAGAGGUGAAAGCCCAGGGCUCAACCUUGGAAUUGCCUUUGAUACUGGCUGUCUUGAGUUUGGGAGAGGUGAGUGGAACUCCGAGUGUAGAGGUGAAAUUCGUAGAUAUUCGGAAGAACACCAGUGGCGAAGGCGACUCACUGGCCCAAUACUGACGCUGAGGCGCGAAAGCGUGGGGAGCAAACAGGAUUAGAUACCCGUGUAGUAC